rnacentral:rRNA from 1 species
GACGAACGCUGGCGGCGUGCUUAACACAUGCAAGUCGAGCGGUAAGGCUCCUUCGGGAGUACACGAGCGGCGAACGGGUGAGUAACACGUGAGCAAUCUGCCCUUCACUUUGGGAUAAGCACCGGAAACGGUGUCUAAUACCGAAUACGACCACUUCCGGCAUCGGAUGGUGGUGGAAAGUUCCGGCGGUGAAGGAUGAGCUCGCGGCCUAUCAGCUUGUUGGUGGGGUAACGGCCCACCAAGGCUUCGACGGGUAGCCGGCCUGAGAGGGUGACCGGCCACACUGGGACUGAGACACGGCCCAGACUCCUACGGGAGGCAGCAGUGGGGAAUAUUGGACAAUGGGCGAAAGCCUGAUCCAGCAACGCCGCGUGAGGGAUGACGGCCUUCGGGUUGUAAACCUCUUUCAGCAGGGACGAAGCGCAAGUGACGGUACCUGCAGAAGAAGCACCGGCCAACUACGUGCCAGCAGCCGGGUAACAC